AGCAGCCACGUUAGUUUGUGCUAUAAAUUCUUUAGAGAACAUCCUCAAAAGUGCAUCUUCGCUGGCCGCUACGAAGGAGCAUUGUUCGUGUUUCCAGACUUUCGCGGCUGCCAAGAUGAAGUACUACUCUUCAGUCGUCGCUUUGCUUCUGGUGCCAGCCGUUAUCCUGGACCUCUUCGGGGGACUUUUGCCGGGUAAGGAUCCUGAACCUCCCCUCCUCGCUGACCGCUACUGGAAUACCUUCGGUUGACCAGACGUGUCUCUACCACCGGUUCUUUCAUGGUCGAAGGUCAAAUGGAAGCUAUCAAAUCAGGCCGCAAGUCAAGUUCUUCCCGGAGGUCAAAUGAAAGCCCUGGCUCCGGCAGCGGAGGCUGCCGGAGUCAGGGCUUUGGAGCCAGGUAGCCCAGAAGCCAGGGCUGCCGGAGCCACGGCUCCUACCUUUGUUUUUAGCGCAAGUGUCGUGCCGUGAUAUCCUUGUUUACUGCGCUUCACUUGCACUGUCUUCUAUUAGGUAUUUGUGGACAAAAUUGAUGGGAAUAAAGGUGCACCUUGC